CCACACCUACUCCUCCUUUGACUCCAUUAUUGCUAGCUGCAUCCACAUUGAUUUUGUAUCUACCUGGUGGUGGAAUUCUCCACCCAUUCGGACUUUGACUCCCUAUAGGUGGCUCUUGGAUCGAGGAUGGUGAAUUCAUUGGAAACAGAGCUUCUGCAAAGGAAGUGGCUGCUCUCUCCAAAAUUGUUUCCGGUGCCAGGUUCUCAUUCUCGAAGAAAAAUUUGUUUUUACUAAGCCAUAGGCCAUGCAAGCAAUAAAUGAACAGUCCCUUUCUCUCCUUUUCAAUUUGAUUUAGAGUUGCUGAUAUCCAUUCUAGCAAUGGCAUUCUAACAGCUUCCGUUCAGAGGUUAAAUGGCAACACGAACUAGAAAUGAGAUGCCCAAUCACAAUCUCUGAAAAGGGUGUUGUGCCUUAACCUCCAUAUGAAAUUCAGAGAUCUUGGAAGAAUUUUCAUCUUUCACAAUUGUUUUCACUUCUCCUUUUCCUGGUUAUUCGGACAGGUACCUGGUUGUUGGUUUCGGUUGUGAGCUCUAAUUAUGUGGUAUUUUCUGGCUGAAAUUGAGGAGCUUGAACAAAAGCCUGAUUCAGAGACAGAGAAAGCACUGUAGAUGCUAUUAGGAUCUGACCUCCAUGCACUCGAAAGAGAUUUUCUAGAGGUACAUAAGUUCAAAUGGCGAGCUCUCAACGAAUAUGGAAAGCCAACAUCUAGGGUUUUCCAGAAAUAUAUAAUAGUCGAUAUUUUACUUUGGAAAUGAAGGCCCAAAACUGGCAUUCUACAUCAAUAAUCUGCCCAAUUCUUGGCGUUCAACGCCCACAAGGGGGUGGCUGGCAUCCAACGCCCAAAAGGGGGUCCUUAGCCAGCGUUUAAUGCCCCUAAGGAACCCUAGCUCAUGGGAGACACUCAAGCUCAGUCCGAACAGUUACCAGGUGGGCCCCAGAAGUGGAUUUUCGCACUGUCAACUUAGUUUAUCUUAUUUCUGUAAUCCUUAGUCAUUAUAUUAGUAUAUAUAGACAAGAGUUUACCAUUAUUAGAGGACUCUUGCCCACUUUCACGUUUACCAUUGUAUUUUUCUAUCAGCAUGAGUCACUAAACCUCCUAGGUUAAGGUUAGGAGCUCUGCUGAUUUUCAUAGAUUAAUAAAAGUACUACUGUUCUAUUCAA